ACUGAUUCCCAUAUGAUCACUGAAGUUAAGCAACAUCAAGCCUGGUCAGUACCUAGAUGGCUGACUGCUUGGGAAUACCAGGUGCUGUAUG